rnacentral:rRNA from 1 species
ACGAACGCUGGCGGCGUGCUAACACAUGCAAGUCGAGCGGAAAGGCCCUUUCGGGGGUACUCGAGCGGCGAACGGGUGAGUAACACGUGAGUAAUCUGCCCUUGGCUUCGGGGUAGCCACCGGAAACGGUGAUUAAUACCGGAUACGACACAUCACUGCAUGGUGCGUGUGUGGAAAGUUUUUUCGGCCAGGGAUGUGCUCGCGGCCUAUCAGCUUGUUGGUGGGGUAAUGGCCUACCAAGGCUUCGACGGGUAGCCGGCCUGAGAGGGUGACCGGCCACACUGGGACUGAGACACGGCCCAGACUCCUACGGGAGGCAGCAGUGGGGAAUAUUGGACAAUGGGCGGAAGCCUGAUCCAGCAACGCCGCGUGAGGGAUGACGGCCUUCGGGUUGUAAACCUCUUUCAGCACAGACGAAGCGCAAGUGACGGUAUGUGCAGAAGAAGGACCGGCCAACUACGUGCCAGCAGCCGCGGUAAUACGUAGGGUCCGAGCGUUGUCCGGAAUUAUUGGGCGUAAAGGGCUCGUAGGCGGUUUGUCGCGUCGGGAGUGAAAACACCGGGCUUAACUCGGUGCUUGCUUUCGAUACGGGCAGACUGGAGGUAUUCAGGGGAGAACGGAAUUCCUGGUGUAGCGGUGAAAUGCGCAGAUAUCAGGAGGAACACCGGUGGCGAAGGCGGUUCUCUGGGAAUAUCCUGACGCUGAGGAGCGAAA